AGUCAACCUAACCUAUGGACGGGAAUAACCUCGGGAAACUGAGAAUAAUGCCCGAUAGAACAUUAUGCCUGGAAUGGUUUAUGUUCCAAAUGAUUUAUCGCCGUAGGAUGGGACUGCGGCCUAUCAGUUUGUUGGUGAGGUAAUGGCCCACCAAGACUAUUACAGGUACGGGCUCUGAGAGGAGUAGCCCGGAGAUGGGUACUGAGACACGGACCCAGGCCCUAUGGGGCGCAGCAGGCGAGAAAACUUUGCAAUGUGCGAAAGCACGACAAGGUUAAUCCGAGUGGUUUCUGCUAAAGAAACCUUUUGUCAGUCCUAGAAACACUGAUGAAUAAGGGGUGGGCAAGUUCUGGUGUCAGCCGCCGCGGUAAAACCAGCACCUCAAGUGGUCAGGAUGAUUAUUGGGCCUAAAGCAUCCGUAGCCGGCUCUGUAAGUUUUCGGUUAAAUCUGUACGCUCAACGUACAGGCUGCCGGGAAUACUGCAGAGCUAGGGAGUGGGAGAGGUAGACGGUACUCGGUAGGAAGGGGUAAAAUCCUUUGAUCUAUUGAUGACCACCUGUGGCGAAGGCGGUCUACCAGAACACGUCCGACGGUGAGGGAUGAAAGCUGGGGGAAGCAACCGGAUUAGAUACCCGGGUAGUCCCAGCUGUAAACUAUGNCAACUCAGUGAUGCAUUGGCUUGUGGCCAAUGCAGUGCUGCANGGAAGCCGUUAAAGUUGCCGCCUGGGAAGUACGUACGCAAGUAUGAAACUUA
rnacentral:rRNA from 1 species